AUGGCUGCACAGGCUGGUUCGACGGCCCCGCGCCGUUUGGUGGUGGCGACGAAGAUCCUGGUGGCGCUAGUUUCGACCUCCACGCCGAAAACGACGAAGGUCGCGCACAUGACGGUGGAAGCGGCGACGUCCGCUCACACCGUGGCGACAGUUGCGUGCGAUGAAGCGGCGGCGACGGCUGGCGGCGCGAGCCAGGCGAAGAAGAAAAAAGACAGGAAACCAGGCAUUUUUCUUCUCACCUUUUGCCUGUUCUUUGUAAAGGAACGAGAGAGACAACCAUCAGAGAGACAAAUGAAUCAAAGUAUCCUUUAUUGA
rnacentral:rRNA from 1 species